AUGAUAACACAAAACAGGAAUACCAUGGGAUAUCACAUAAGCAUCAGAAGAAUACCCAGCUAUUGCACCGAACGAACAUCCCUCAACAUAACAGAGAAUUGGCUAUAUCUGAAUCUUUCCAUGGCUUAUUACAGAAUAAACAUCUCUGCCUAUAAUGAAGCAGGAGAAUCCCCUGCAGUUACGUAUCUGGUUCCAGAAUUCACUAAAGCAGAUUUACCUGGCCAGAUCAAUGUCUCAAAUCAUCAAAAUCAUACGGUUGUUUCAUGGAAUCUAAAAUACACUCUAAAGCGCAUUGUGAUUGACUGGGGGAUAGGAAUUGAAAACAUGGACUUAGUAGUAAUAUCAGGACGUAUGAAAAAGGAAACACUAGGUCAACUCCAACCAUAUCAGUUAUACAAAGUAAUGUUGCAUGCAUUUCAUGGUCCAUGUGAGGAUUUCCUGAAGAAUGAAUGGACAUUUGGCAUGACAUACUUCUAUGCGGUGGAAGGAGUUCCCAGGACAGGUCCAAGUAAUGUGACAAUUCCAGUUGUCACGAAGCAUUCAGCUCUUGUGAAAUGGACAGAGAUACCUGCAGAAGAGAGCUUGGGAUUCCUUCAGGCUUACAGAAUUCACUGCAUAGAAAUCCCGAAAAAUGUCUCUUUGAGUAGGUAACUUUAUUGACUGAAUAUUUAUGAUAAAAGCUUUAUAAUUCCUCUUGUACCUGGAUAAAGCUGUGCUUCGAGUUUGAAAGCUCAGAGGAAGGCGUGCAUUCAGGUUUGCAAUCGAACCAAGAGCAGUUUUCCUUCUACAACUGAUUUUACCUGGGUUUGAGAAAGGGAAGAAAAUUUCCAUUGGUAAGUUGGGUUUUUGGACUUGCUGCCUGGAAGGUACCACUCCAGCAGGAAGGUAACGGUACUCCAUGCAGUCAUACCGGCUACAUGACCUUGGAGGCAUCUAUGGACAAUGUUGGCUCUUUGGCUUAGACGUGGAGAUGACCACCAACUCCCAGAGUCAGACACGACGAGACUCAAUGUCAGGGGAAAACCUUUACCUUUACUAAGAUGAGAGUACACUGCUGUAGCUAUCAGAGAAUGUUUUGAUUCAACCAGUUUUCUCUCAAGUGUUUCCCCCACUGGUGUAAAUCAAAAUUGUUCAGAAUAGCCACCCAGCAUAGAACGUCAUUUAAAUUUCUAAUAUUUUAAUGCAUUGGGAAUUCUCCCUGGCAGUUGUUCUCAGUGUUCAUUAAAACAGCCUUAUAAAAAAGAUCUUUAGGUAGAAUAAAUUACAUUCGAACCUCUGCAUUUGUGACUUUCACUUUUGUGGAUUUGAUUAUUCAUGGAUUUGAUUAGUAUGUUCGUUCUAAGAGUUGCUGGGUCCUCUAGUGCACUUCUAUGGGCAACUUCUGGCAGAAGUUAAUUAUAGCAUCAUGUUGGAGGUUCAUAGAGAGAAUACUUCUCUAAGCAUUUAUAGGUCCUCCAGAAUUAUUUUUUUAAGGUGACCAUAAAGUUGUUCAGGAGGGUCUAGGGAUUUCUUCAAAGGCAUUCUCUCAGAUUAAAAAAAAUGAUUUUUUUUAUUUUUGGUUUUUUCCAUUUCAUUAGGGCCUUGCACCUCAAACCCCAGUAAAUGUGGAGAGCUGAAUCUUUUUUAAAAAUUCAAAGGAAUACACAGAAUAAAGAUUUUAUAUCAAGCAACGUUAGAUAGAUGAGUUUAAUAUGCUUGGACAGACAAAUAGGUUUUAACUUGGAACC
rnacentral:lncRNA from 1 species